rnacentral:rRNA from 1 species
CACGUAGGGGGCGAGCGUUGUCCGGAUUUAUUGGGCGUAAAGAGCUCGUAGGCGGUUUCGUAAGUCGGAUGUGAAAACUCCAGCUCAACUUGGAGACGCCAUUCGAUACUGCGAUGACUUGAGUCCGGUAGGGGGAGUGUGGAAUUCCUGGUGUAGCGGUGAAAUGCGCAGAUAUCAGGAGGAACACCGGCGGCGAAGGCGGCACUCUGGGCCGGUACUGACGCUGAGGAGCGAAAGCGUGGGUAGCAAACAGG